rnacentral:rRNA from 1 species
CCCUCCCCCCUUGCCACGGUGUGGUCCAUCCGCCUACCUCUGAAAAUCCGGAUCUUCAUGUGGCAGUGGAUUCGCGGUCGGAUCCCGUCUGGCGUUGAGGUUCGCAAACGCAAUGGUCCGGGCUCCGGUCUUUGCUCGCUUUGCGCCACCCCCGAAGACUCGAAUCACAUCUUCUUUUCCUGUGUGUCCACGCAAUUCGUGUGGAGCAGUUUCCGCGAGGUGGUGGGUGGAAAUUGGUGCCGCACCAACUUCCCAUGUAUACAGAGCUCCAGGCCUCCCCCCUGGCGUCUCGCCACAUUAGGUGCCUUGAAAUUGGGGUCAUCGCUUGGACCCUCUGGACGAUCCGUAAUAAGCUCGUGA